rnacentral:rRNA from 1 species
GAUGAACGCUAGCGGCAGGCUUAAUACAUGCAAGUCAAGGGGGUAGCAAUACAACCGGCGCACGGGUGAGUAACGCGUACACAACAUACCAUAUACUGGGGUAUAGCUUCGGGAAACUGAAGGUAAUCCCCAUAAUAUUGCGGGAAGGCAUCUUUCUGCAAUUAAAGUUUCGACGGUAUAUGAUUGGUGUGCGUUUGAUUAGCUAGUUGGUAGGGUAACGGCCUACCAAGGCGACGAUCAAUAGCUGGCGUGAGAGCGCGACCAGCCACACUGGAACUGAGACACGGUCCAGACUCCUACGGGAGGCAGCAGUAGGGAAUAUUGGACAAUGGGCGAAAGCCUGAUCCAGCCAUGCCGCGUGAUAGAUGAAGGCCCUCUGGGUUGUAAAU